rnacentral:rRNA from 1 species
UACGUAGGGUGCAAGCGUUGUCCGGAAUUAUUGGGCGUAAAGGGCUCGUAGGCGGUCUGUCACGUCGGGAGUGAAAACUCAGGGCUUAACCCUGAGCCUGCUUCCGAUACGGGCAGACUAGAGGUAUGCAGGGGAGAACGGAAUUCCUGGUGUAGCGGUGAAAUGCGCAGAUAUCAGGAAGAACACCUAUGGCGAAGGCAGCUCUCUGGGACGGUACUGACGCUGAGACGCGAAAGCGUGGGGAGCGAACAGG